rnacentral:rRNA from 1 species
AUUUUUAGUCUGGCCUGCCCACUGAGGUUAAUUAAAGGGCCGCGGUAUUUGGACCGUGCUAAGGUAGCAUAAUCAAUAGUCUCUUAAUUGGGGACUAGAAUGAACGGUCGGAUGAAGUGUAGUUUGUCUACGGCCAUAAAUUUUGAAUUUUACUUUUAAGUGAAAAGGCUUAAAUUAGGUAGAGGGACGAUAAGACCCUAUGAAGUUUUAUGCUGUCUAAAUUUGGUGUUUAAUAUUAAAGUGAUUAAUUUUGGAUUUUAGAGGUAUUGUGUUGGGGCGAUAGGAAUAUAUUUUUAACUGUUUUUAGGAGAAAAAUAAAUAAUUUUUAGAGUGUUGAUCCUGUAUUAUGGAUUAUAAGAUUAAAAUUACUCUAGGGAUAACAGCGUAAUUCUUUUUGAGAGUUCUUAUCGACAAAAGUAUUUGCGACCUCGAUGUUGAAUUAAGAUUUCACUAAGGUGUAGGAGCUUUAGUUGUGGGUCUGUUC